rnacentral:lncRNA from 1 species
CGGAUUCGUUAUUAGAAAAAUCAUUAAAAGCCAAGUAUUAUCCCAAUUCAUGUUUCAUGCAAGCUAGAUUGGGGACCGUACCAUCUUAUACAUGGAGAAGUGUAUGGUUGACAAGAGGACUCCUUGAAAAAGGAAUAUGCUGGCAAAUUGGGUUAGGAAAGCAAGUCCAAAUUUGGGAUAAGGCGUGGAUCCCGGGCACUGAUGAAUACAAAUUAUAGCAUCCAAAUAUUAAUCAGCGUUUUUUACAUGUAUCAGACCUAAUAGAACAAAACACAAACCAAUGGAAGGAAGAGCUAAUAUGAGGUACCUUUCACACUGAAGAUGCCGAAAGGAUCCUAUGCAUUCCCCUUUCUUUGGAGCAAGAAAUGGACAGAAUGGUUUGGCGCGGUGAAACAUCAGGGGUGUAUACAAUGUGGAGUGGUUACAAAAAUUUAAUGCAAAUCGACAGCAAAAUAAACAUACAAGCAGACCAUAAUUAUUACAAACCAAUGUACAAAAAGCUAUGGACGAUAGACUUGCCCUCAAAAACAAAAAUUCUGGUAUGGAAAACCCUAAAUAAUUUUUGACCUACUUUUUCUAACCUAUCUCAGCGAAGACUAGGGAAUGUUGCAAAUUGCUCGAGAUGCGUCAACAGUCUCGAAACCACAGUUCAUGUGUUCAAGGGCUGCCCUUUUGCUGAUGUAGUGUGGUCCAGGCUGGGUAUCAAGUGGACCUUGGAAUAAGGCCAAUUAUAAUAUAAGGACUGGAUGAAGGUGCUGUUUGAAAAAGUAUCAAGCCAAUAGAUAAAAACAAUCGUGGGUACCAUUUGGGGUUUAUGGAUGGCUAGGAAUAAAUUGCUACAUGAGAAUAAGGUACAAAUAGAAGCAAGCUUGAUCCAGUUUAUCACAGAUUAUAUUCAGGAAAUAGAAGGGGUAAAAGAGAAACUACCUGUUAGCUCAGUAUUCAACGAAUAUUGGAAGCCCUCGAGAAUCACAAAUGUUAAAAUAAAUUUCGAUACUGCAUUUGAUAAGCAAAAUAAGAGAUCAUGCACUGGAGUCGUCAUUCGAGACACUACUAGUAAUGUUUUAAAAUCAAUAACCUACAAAAACGAGCACAUACCGAUAGCAUUUGCAGUUGAGGCACUCACAUGCGUCCAGGCGGUUAGAUUCAAGGCAAAAUUAGGAUUUCUUCCAGUUGAAGUUGAAAGCGACGCGUUAACUAUUUUUAAAAAAAAAGUACAAAGUCAGGAAAAUGACAGAUUCGAGAUAAGAGACUAUAUCUCAGAUGCAUAAAGAUUAAGAAGCAACUUUGUUACUUGUAGGUUUAAACUUGCAAGGAGACAAACAAACACAGUAGCUCAUAUCCUAGCAACAGAAGGGUUAAAGGAAAGGGGAAAUACUCAUCUGACUCCUGGCCUUUCCAGUGCAGUUGCUAGGACCGUCGCGGCUGACAAAAAUGGCGAAGUAGUAGGAAGCGGAGGGCUCAUGACAUAAAACCAUGAAACACGGAAGUAUUUUUGAAGGAAAGGCGACAUAGAUUUGAAAAGAGAAUGUUAGAUUCUUUGUUUUCUCAGAUUAAUAAUUAAGGAGAUAAAGGAAUGGUACCUCAUAGUCACUGGUGCUUAGAGAUCUAGCAACCUAAAAAGCGAGUUAAUUCGCCAUUGAAGAGGUACCUUUCAUCUGAUGCAUGUAGGAGGUGGUGGCCAUCCUUCGGAGCAUUGAAAAGACGAAAUGAGUGAAGAUGGUGAGAGAUGUGCAGAAAUGGGAACUGGCUGUGGGGUAGAGGUUUUAAGGUUUCUUCUUUUUUAGUUUGUUUUUAGGAUGUGGGCUAAUGUAGGCUUAGGUUUAGGAUGGGUUAGGAUUUUGGGCUUUAUUUUUUUUUGUAGGGUAUUCCCUUUUAAAUUUGAUGUUCUUCUUUUGGUUAAUUUACCUAAAUAAUUAAAAUAAAUAAAUACUGAAAUAGGUUGUCG